rfam:Triticum aestivum genome assembly, contig: Triticum_aestivum_CS42_TGACv1_scaffold_404209_5BL
AAAGUACUCCCUUCGUCCUAAAUUUCUUGUCUUAGAUUUGUCUAGAUACGGAUGUAUCAAGUCACAUUUUAGUAUUAGAUACAUCCGUAUCAAGACAAAUCUAAGACAAGAAUUUUGGGACGGAGGGAGUACUUG